AUUUGUUGUUUUAGAUUCCAUAUAUAAAGAAAAUCCAUCUUCAAACAUACAUCCGGUUAGAACAAAGAGAGGUAUAAUUCUCAGAUAUCUGUGGGUAUUUCUCUUUGAUAUUCCAAAAGCUGAUAUUAAUGGUUUUUUUUAAAGCUAGUUGCAAUGUGGAAUAUUCAACUAUUUCAACAAAUUUUGAGCCCUGUAUACUUGUGAAGAACACAAGUGAAAUAGACAGGAAAGAUCUUUGUAUUAUUAGGAAUAUGAUUUUUGAUCUCAUGUUUUCCUCAGAGUCUUGGGGAGCCCCAGGGACUCCUGGACCACACACUGAGAAACACUGCUCUAUUCCACAACAUUGGGCACCUGUAUCUUAUUCUCAGAUUGUUUUAUAUUUGUUAAUUAAUUCAACAUGUAUUUAUAGAGUACGGCUCUGUGCCGGGUGCUGGGUUCUAAAGGUAACUGAUCCUACAGUCAAAUUCCACAGAAGACAGAGGGCUCUAUUUCAGGAUCACCUCUUGAGAAAAGGUUUCAGAGUUGCUGGUUAGCCUUUUGGCACCUUUGUAUAAACUAGAAGUCACCCCUUCUGGAGACACAGCUCUACAAGUGAAGCAAAGUGGACACAGGCUUGGUGAGAAGAGCAUGGGCGGAACUGUGGUUUCCCUUACUCCUUAGAGAAGCACCUUUCUGCAACUGCUCAUGGACCUGUGCAAUAGAUCCCAUCAUCUGUGGUUUCACUUCUGUGGUUUCAGUGACUUGAGGUCAACAGAGGGCUGCAAAUAGGGUGAAUUGCAAUAAGUGCCAAAUGUAUGCAUAAGAAAAGGCAGUCCAGUCAUGUGCCCCACCAUGAUCUUCAGUCAAGGAUGGACAGCAUGUGGCAGGCUACAACUGGGUGUAGCCUGGCCUCCCAGGUCUCUGCGAUUACAGAUGUGUGCCGCCAUGCCCAGAUUAAUGUACCUAAUAAAGGAGGUGCCAGAGAGACCCCUGACCCUCCCACCAUGUGAGGACACAGCAAGAAGACACAGUCUAGGAACCAGAAAGUGGGGUCUUCCCAGACAAAGACUCUUCCAGACCCCUGAUCCUGGACUCAUCAUGUGUAGAACUGUUGGAAAUAAAUUUCCUUUGUUGAUAGGUCUCCA